rnacentral:tRNA from 1 species
GGGGUUGUGGCUCAGUGGCAGAGCUCUCGCCUAGUAUGUGUGAGGUACUGAGUUCGAUCCUCAGUACCACA